rnacentral:rRNA from 1 species
GACGAACACUGGCGGCGUGCUUAACACAUGCAAGUCGAACGGAAAGGCCCUGCUUUUGUGGGGUGCUCGAGUGGCGAACGGGUGAGUAACACGUGAGUAACCUGCCCUUGACUUUGGGAUAACUUCAGGAAACUGGGGCUAAUACCGGAUAGGAGCUCCUGCUGCAUGGUGGGGGUUGGAAAGUUUCGGCGGUUGGGGAUGGACUCGCGGCUUAUCAGCUUGUUGGUGGGGUAGUGGCUGACCAAGGCUUUGACGGGUAGCCGGCCUGAGAGGGUGAACGGCCACAUUGGGACUGAGAUACGGCCCAGACUGCUACGGGAGGCAGCAGGGGGGAAUAUUGCACAAUGGGCGGAAGCCUGAUGCAGAAACGCCGCGUGCGGGAUGACGGCCUUCGGGGUGUAAACCGCUUUCGCCUGUGACGAAGCGUGAGUGACGGUAAUGGGUAAAGAAGCACCGGCUAACUACGUG